GCUUCCGUAGCUCAGUUGGUUAGAGCUUCGUACUAAUAGACAUUAGUGAUGCGGAGGCCGCAGGUUCAAGCCCUGCCGGGAGCA
rnacentral:tRNA from 1 species